rnacentral:rRNA from 1 species
UACGGAGGAUGCAAGCGUUAUCCGGAUUCAUUGGGUUUAAAGGGUGCGUAGGCGGCUUAGUAAGUCAGCGGUGAAAUUUUGCAGCUUAACUGUAACAGUGCCGUUGAUACUGCCAGGCUAGGAUUUGGUUGCUGUGGGUGGAAUGUGUGGUGUAGCGGUGAAAUGCUUAGAGAUCACACAGAAUAUCGAUUGCGAAGGCAGCUCACAAAGCCAAGAUUGACGCUGAGGCACGAAAGUGUGGGGAUCAAA